GCUUGUUUCAGCUGACAUAUACUAAAAUUGUAACAAUAUGGAGAAGAUUUGUAUGGCUCCUGCACAAGGCUAACAUGCAAAUUUGUGAAGUGCUCCAUAUUUUC